UUGGAGUAACUCCAAGUGGCUCUCAGCAAGCAAAUGACUUGACUGCUGGGAGCAGGGGUGUCCAGGUGGCUGGUGAGAAGACUGCUGGCCAAGAGCACUCAGAGCUCUGGGUCUCAGUGGAAAACUCCACUGGUCAGUCUGCCUGUAUCCCCUUGCCCUUGGCACGUGGGUGCACGCUGGCCUGACUUCCAGCUGCCCCCGCCUGCAGGAACCUGCACAGCAGGCCAGAGGAGCCGCAGAAUGAGCAUUCUCACACCAAUGAUGGAUGGGAACUAGUGUAUAAAUACCCCAGCGCCCUCGCCCGCAGGGCGGGGUAACCCUGAGGCCUGUUCGACAAGGUUCCCCGAGUUUCUCCAGUGGGAUUAAGCUCCAGUUUCCCACAGGAACCUGGCUUGGAAGCUCACCCUUUCACAGCUGCCUUCCCUGCCACGUCUCAAUUUCCCGAAGCUCUUCUGGUGUUCCCCCACCUUUCAAACAAUUUACUCUUGAUCUCUGACUUGGUUUGCUUUGGUGGCAGGGGAACCCAAACUAUAACAGUCUCAGAUGUAAGCUUUGCUCUGGGAACAGAGAGCAAGGGCAAUAUGGCUCUUUAGUUUCAUGCAGGUCACCAUCUAUACAACCCCCUCUGAGGUGGCGGAUAACAGCCCCCCAAAAUGUGUGCAUCCUAAUCCCCAGGACCUGUGACUAUGUUACUUGGGACUCUGCAGAUGGGACUAAAUGAGAGAUCUUGAGAUGGGGGGAGAUGAUGCUGGAUGAUCCAGCUGGGCCAGUCCGCAUCACGAGGGCCCCUGUAAGGGGGAGGCGAGGGAGGGUCCAGUGACAGCAGAAGCUGUCAGAAAGAGAAGAUGCUGACUUUGAGGAUGGAGGGAGGGACUGGGAGCCAGGGAAUACAGGCAGCCUCUAGAAGCUAGAAAAGGUCAGAAAACACAUUCUCCCUGGAGCCUCUACAAGGAAUCAGCUCUGUGGAUAUCAUGAGUUGAGCCCCAUCAGACUCAAUUCAGAUGUCCAACCUCCAGAUCUGUAAUAAAAUAUAUCUGAGUUGUUCUUCAAGCCGUUGAGGUUAUGGCAACUUGUGGCAGCAGCCAAAGGAAACCAGGGUACCAUCUAAUCUUUUGCAUUACUUUGUAGGGGCUACAGUUUAUCCCCAUUUGCAGAUAGGAAAAGUAGCACUUGCUCAUGGGUGGGACAACUUGGCCUUAAGGUCAGAGUGGAUAAGUGGCAGGGCUGGGAUCAGGCUCGGUCUGUCCAGGCUUGACAAUCAAGAGUCCCCACUCACAGUUCCAACACUGAUUCUUAGAGGUCGACCUGCAGAGUUAGCACUGAGGCUGGUCUUCCUUCAUCUAUGAUGGCCACUAAAGGGUUCAACGAAAAAGAAACAUGACAGGCCUUGCCAAGAUGACAGAGAAGCUCCCAGGAGCUGGAGAGGGGGCCAAAGCUUACCUCGAUACCCAAGUAACAACCUGCUUGAUGAGGCCCAGGACAGGUUCAGUCAUUUCAUUCCAUUCCAAUCCAUUCUGUUCUAUUCUAGAGAACAGAAUACUCCAGAUAGAGUACAACCCUUAACCAUAUUUCAGAAGAAAUACAAAUACUCCAAGGCCAACAAAAAUGGAAUCGCUGUUCAAAUAUUAUGCCAUAAUUAAUAUGUAUUUUAUUGGCUCCUCCUAUGUGCUAGGCAUGUGCUAGAUGCUUGAGGAAAUCUGAAGAAUACUAAAUGACAAGGAACCAUAACUACCUCAGUGGUACAGAGGAUGCAUGGGCAGGAGGCAGAGCACGCGCACACACACACACACACACACGCCAUCAACUAGGAUACAGCAGGACUUAUGCUUUUACUAAGUUGGCCUGGGGAACCAUUCCUGAGGACUAAUAUGUGCCAGACGAUGAGCUGGAACUGGGAAAAGAUAAGACCAUCCCUCUUGGGAAGGAGCUAACAGUUUGGGGAGGUGAACAAACAGGUUCUGAAGAAGUGGCAUUCCUUCUUCAUACACUUACGUGACAGAUGUCUGCUGAGUGCUUUCUCCAUGCUGUGUUAUGGAUGCUGCAGUGACGAGAACAUACAGGAAAGAGCAGAGGCUGAAAGGAGAGUGGUCAGGGCUCCUUGGAGGGUUCAAGGAAGCCUAAUGGUGAUGUGCGUUGAGGUCUAACAGCUAAGAAGUGUCCCCAGGUGGAGAAUGGGUCAGAAAUCUUAGCAUCACAUCUCUGCUUCAAUAUCCUGGUCAUCUAAUCUGUGUGUUCUAUUUGCACAUCCUCUUCGGGACAGGCCAUGACAGUCAAACAUGGGGGACCGAGUUGUAACCGUGACCUUCAUUGUUUCUUUGCCCUUGUGGAGCACCCAGGCAGUUGAACUCAUUCCCCCCCCCCCUCAGGGUUUUCUCAGGUUCACGCCCAGCACUGAGACACUGGCAGUUUCCAGCUCCCGGGAAGGUAUGAGGGGUCCGUCUAUACAGCUUCCAGCUCACAUUUACCACCCCAUCAUGCAUUCAGCAGGCUCUCCCUCUCAUAUCUGAUAGGAAACUUGCAGUGUGUCAGAUGUGACAAACAGGGUUUUAAAACAGCCAAGGGAAAUAUAAACAAAGAGAUCUGCUUUUCAGACUCUGGUAUGAAUAGUUCUGGAAAAAGAAACGGAGAGAGGAUUUUGAUGAACUUACUGGGAAACCAGUUCAAAUGAGAGAGGGCAGGUGCUGACGGUCGAGCUGCUGACACCCUGCGUGCAUCUUAUCUUUUCUAAUAAAAACAAGUGUGAUUUCUACCUGAUGUUGAGUUGUCCGCAUUUUGAGAUCUGGGUCUACGAUAUCAUUAGCAUCAGCACAGUCAAACGCACUCUGGGUGAGGAAGGAAAGAAUUUAUAGGACUUCAGGUUUGGGUAAUUGUACAUUCUUUUUUUGUUUUGUUUUGUUUUGUUUUUUGCAGCCACACCUGUGGCCCAUGGAAGUUCCUGGGCCAAGGGUCAAAUUGGAGCUGCAACCUGCAACUGUGACCUACCUGACAACCAGGGCAACACUGGAUCCAAGCCACAUCUGCAACCUCUGCCGCAGCUUGUGGCAAUGCCGGAUACUUAACCUACCAAGUGAGGCCAAGGAUGGAGCCUGGGUCCUAAACCUGCUGAGCCACAAUAUGAACUCCAUGUAUGUUCUUUUUAAAACUCUUCUGUUAAAGAAAGCUUUUCUCCAAUAAAAAUGACAACAAAAUGUGGUAUACAUACACAAUGAAAUAUUAUUCAGCCAUAAAAAGGAAGGAAAUUCUGACACAUGCCACAACAUGGAUAAACCUUAAAGACAUUGUGCUAAGUGAAAUAAGGCAGUUACAAAAGGACAGGUAUUGUAUGAUUCUGCUUUAUGUGAAGUACCCAAAGUAGUUAAAAAUUCACAGAGACAGAAAAUAGAAUAGUGAUUGCCAUGGCCUAAGGGGAGGGGGGGAAUGGGGACAGAGACGAAUGGGGACAGAAUUUCAGUUUGAGAAGAAGAACUUCUGGAGAUGGAGAGAAGUGGUGGUUACACGACAGUGUGGAUGUGUUUAAUGGCACUGAACUGUACACUUAAGAAUGGUUGAAAUGGUACAUUUUGUGUUCUGGAUAUUUCCUCACAAUAAAGAAAAAUGUUAACAACUGCCAAUGCCGCUUUUAAGAUGAAACAGAAUUGUAGGAUUUGGGAGCUGCAGGGAUUGGAGCCAGGAGCUGUUUAGUCCAGAGUUUCUGAAAUGUUGGGGUUGGGCUGGCUGCAAGCAAUCAGCCAGGGGUCCCCCAGCCAUUCCAGUCCCAGAUAUUUAUCCAGGAGAAAUGAAAACAUAAUUCCACACAAGACUUGUAUACAAACGUCCACGGCAGCUUUCUCCAGAAGAGCCCCAAACUGGAAACAAUCCAAACAUCCACCAAUAGAAGAACGGGUAAACCAGUUGUGUUACAUCCUUAGAACUCCCUGCUCUCCAGUUACCAAAUGAAUGAACUAUUGAAACACACAGCAACUUGGAUGAGUCUCAAAAACAUUUUGCCAACAGAAAGCAGACAGAUGAAGGUAUACCUGCCAUAGGAUCCACUUGUAUGAGGUUUAGAUUAGGCAAAACUAAUCUACACAGAUAGAGCUCAGAACAGGGGUUGCAUCAGGAGGAGGGAGGGCCGGGUGGGGAAGGGGCCUAAAGGAAUUUUCUAGGGUAAUGGAAACAUUUGGUAUCUCGAUAAGUUCAUUUGAUUAUGUAGCCAAAUGAACUAGGUCGAUGUAAUUUAUUUGAGCAUUUGUCAAAAUUCAUUCAACUGAGACCUAUGCAUUUCGCUCUACAUGAGGUAUAUCACAACUUUAAAUACAUAAUUAUCAAAAAUAGUCUCUCUUCACAGAGGGGAGCGGGUUCAUGGGAUCCCCAUCAGUAAUUCCCAAGACCUGGAUGUGGCCUUCUCUCCAUAUGAAGUAAUAGCCAAGCCGAUUCACUGCCCUUCCUGGAGGGAGCAGCUUCCCUUGACAGGUGGGUGUCUGUCGUCACCAAGACCUGGGAAUGGGCCCCCGGGGUGUCCUGGAAGCUGUCAUGGACUCUUGGACUCUACCCCUAAACCCCCAAGCCAAAGAGACAGGCUGUUAGUCUCAUGAGUGAGCAAUCCAUAGGCCAGCCAACUUCUACAGCUUGGAAGCUUCACUUAGGUUGACCGUGGAGAUACUUCUGCCUCCAGUGGGAGUCUUGGGCGUCACUAUUUAAGUUCUAAGGGCCAUUUUCAGUUGAAUAAUGGCCCAGUCUCCAAAACAUAAGACAUGUGAUUAUAUUCAGAAGUCCUUGACCCCAAGAGAGAGCAGUGUGGGGGAAGGGAAAGGGUCUAGGCUUUGGGGUCAGACAGACCUGGGCUUAGGUUCCAGGCUGGUCUCUCAGCAGCCCCACGACUUUGGUGAUGUGAGUUUCUCUGAUUCUCAAUCUUCUCCACAAAAUUUACAAACAGGUAAGAUCUGACUUGCAAAGCAGGGCAUGCAAAGCUCUUGUCACAGUGCCAGGCACACAACAGGCAUUAGAUAAACGCUGCACUAUGACGGUGGUGCUGCUGUUGCUAACACCCCAACGAUAUGCAUCCUUACAGUUUACUCAGCCCUUCUGCUAUUACUUGUGUAUGAGUUUACUUAUUUUGUUACGGAGAUAUAAUUCUCACACCAUAAAAUUCACCAUUUUACAAUAUGUAAUUCAGUGGCUUUUAGUAUAUUCACCACAUUGUGCAACCAUCACCACUAUAUAAUUCCAGGACCCUUCCAUCAGCCUCCAAGGAAAUGCUAUACCUAUGAGCUGUCACUCCCAUUCUCUCCUUCUUCCAGCCCCUGACAACCACUAAUCUGCUUUCUGUCUCUAUGGAUUUGCCUCCUCUGGGUACUUCCUACGAAUGGGCUCACCAUUCGUGGCCUUUUGUGCCUGACUUUUUUCACUCAGCAUAAUGUUUUCCAGGUUCGUCUACGUCAUAGCACACAUCCCAACUCCACCCCUUUUUACUGGCAAAUAAUCGUCUAUUGUACAUCUCUACCGCUUUUAUCCAUUCCUCCGUGAUGGACUCUUGCACUGUCUCCACUUUUUGGCUCCCACUGAUUAUUUCAUUUGAUCCUCAACAGAGGAUCCCUAGAGAAGAACAGAGCAGGUACAAUCUUGUCCACCAGAGAUGGGAACUGAGGCUAAAGGGAGGGAAAGGGACCUCCCUAAGGUCACUUAGCUGGUUAAACACCUGCUAGGGAUCCGGGUCAAUCCUCCUGACCUCCUUAAGCUCACUCAAUGUCUCAAGGCAAAACAAGAAGGACAGUGUCCGUGUGUGUGUUUGCAGAGGGACCCCAACAGCACAUUACAGAGCAUCUCACUGGCCUCAAGGGCAGAGGAAUGAACAUCACUAAGGACCACCUUGCUCUGUGACCCCAGCAGGGGAGACAACAGCUGAUUCCAAGCAGAUCCGUGCCAGCAUGGAAGGAGGGAAAGCAGCCCAUUCUCACUAACCAGAAAACCCAGGAACAAUGCACUCUCAUGCUUGGGCUUGGCCUGGGGAUUCUCAGUUGCAUGUGCUGGUUGCACCCUCCCUCCUCCAUCCUGACCGGGCACCUCAGUGGCUCCAUCAUCUCCAUCUCCAUGAAUGUAG
rnacentral:lncRNA from 1 species